GCGGAGACAGCAGAGACAGGGAGAGGGGUAAAGAAAAUACCGCUUCCGAUUGGCUGAAGGGACCGUCCGUCCGCUCGGAGGCGUGGCUGGGCGAAGGCGCAAGGUUUGGAACAGGAAGUCUGUGCCUGCUGAGGCCUUGGAGGCUCCCCGAACAGCAACAGCGUUGCUCAUUGAGAACCACUGACUACUUCUGUCCAGUGUCCUUUGAGAGUGGAGGCAGGAAAGCCCGGCAUGGGGGUGCAUGAUCUGUGGCAGAUCUUGGAGCCUGUCAAGCGGCAUAGCCAUCUCCGCAGCCUCCAGGGGAAAACCCUGGCAGUGGAUCUGAGCGUCUGGGUGUGCGAAGCCCUUACGGUCAGAAAGAUGGCGGGCACUGUGGCCAGGCCUCAUCUCAGGAACUUGUUUUUUCGGAUCUCGUCCCUGACCCGGAUGGGGGUAAAACUGCUCUUUGUCAUGGAGGGCGACGCUCCCGGACUGAAAGCAGAUGUCAUGAGCAAGAGGAACGAGGCGAGGUACGGGCCCCCCCAGAGCCGGGCGCACAGACCCACGAGAUCCUCUUUCAGAGCCAUCCUAAAAGAGGUGAGCAGCCGCAGCAGGCAGGGAAGGAAAAGGCUUGUUUCCUGUCUUAGAGUCCACACUAAGGUUUGGUUCCAAGGCAGAUGGGAGAGAGGUGACUUGACCAGGGUCACACCGCUAGGAAGCGUCUGAGGCCAGAUUGGAACCCAGAUCGUCCCAUCCUUAACAAGUGCAUUGGGCAUGAGAAUAGGAAGAACACGAGAGGGUCUGAGGACACCAUCGGUCCUUUUUAGCCAUGGCUCAUGUCAUGCUUCUAAGAGGAGUUCUGGCUCCAUGCCUUCAGAUCGGACGGAGAGCCACGAGGAGGUGUAGGCAGGCCACAACGAUGGCUCGGUGGCAUAAAAAAUCUAUGCUGGCUCAAGAGGUGGCCUGCCGCGAUCUCUUCCUGCAAACCUUUGGGUGUCUAAGCCCGGAAGCGUCGGAGGCAGCGUGGGGAGGGACUUGGCGAAGGCCCCCUGUUUCACAGUGCCUCUGGGGUGAGCCCGAGGGUGACGGCAGCCUCAGAGAUGGGGUCACUGCUGGCCGUGACCGCAGUCCGUCGGGAAAUCUGGAGGGAUUAACGGUGAAACACGGGAACGUGGCGGCCCCAGUCGAGUGACUGGCGUUCAGAGACGGUCUUCCCGUCCAUCUGUGUGUUCUCCAUCCACCUCUUUUUCCUGGAUUUGUGCAUUCCUAGGAGCUCAUUUUAGUUGUAUGAAUUGCUGCGUCCCGGAGACGCAGGCCGAGGCUCCUGUGGGGAGAUGGAGGCAGCCCCUCACGUUGGCUGA
rnacentral:lncRNA from 1 species